UGGGGAAUCUUCCGCAAUGGGCGAAAGCCUGACGGAGCAACGCCGCGUGAGUGAAGACGGCCUUCGGGUUGUAAAGCUCUGUUAUAUGGGACGAACGGGYGUAUGGUCAAUACCCAUACGCCGUGACGGUACCGUAAGAGAAAGCCACGGCUAACUACGUGCCAGCAGCCGCGGUAAUACGUAGGUGGCAAGCGUUGUCCGGAAUCAUUGGGCGUAAAGGGCGCGCAGGCGGUUCGGUAAGUCGGUCUUAAAAGUGCGGGGCUUAACCCCGUGAUGGGAUUGAAACUGCCGGACUGGAGUGUCGGAGAGGAAAGCAGAAUUCCUAGUGUAGCGGUGAAAUGCGUAGAUAUUAGGAGGAAUACCAGUGGCGAAAGCGGCUUUCUGGACGACAACUGACGCUGAGGCGCGAAAGCCAGGGGAGCAAACGGGAUUAGAUACCCCGGUAGUCCUGGCCGUAAACGAUGGAUACUAGGUGUAGGAGGUAUCGACCCCUUCUGUGCCGGAGUUAACGCAAUAAGUAUCCCGCCUGGGGAGUACGGCCGCAAGGUUG
rnacentral:rRNA from 1 species